rnacentral:rRNA from 1 species
UACGUAGGGUGCAAGCGUUGUCCGGAAUUAUUGGGCGUAAAGAGCUCGUAGGCGGUUUGUCGCGUCUGCUGUGAAAACUCGGGGCUUAACCCCGGGCCUGCAGUGGGUACGGGCAGACUAGAGUGCGGUAGGGGAGACUGGAAUUCCUGGUGUAGCGGUGAAAUGCGCAGAUAUCAGGAGGAACACCGGUGGCGAAGGCGGCUCUCUGGGCCUUACCUGACGCUGAGGAGCGAAAGCGUGGGUAGCGAACAGG